rnacentral:lncRNA from 1 species
CUCUGCCCUACAGGUCACGCCGCUGGAUUUUCCGGCCCUUCAUUGUGCUGUGCAGCCUCACAACUUUGUCCUCUUGAAAUGCAGUGCUGGGAGAGGCCAGCUGGGUGGUGGGCAUGAUAAUUGUGUUUGUGUGGAGAGGGAGUGGAUGGAGUCUCUGGGAGCAGAAGUAGCACAUCAGUCGCGUGAGGCCGUGGUGCUGGCAUGGUGUCUCUGGUCUGGACCUGUGCAAGAUUGCCCCAGAAAGCUUUGUCCUGAGAACAGUAGGUGACUCUCCUGGGACUGUUGGAACAGCAGGCUCAUGUGGACAUUUAUUCAGGCCACUGUGGUGCUUCACCAUUGGUUCCCUACCUGAGUUCCUUCUCCUCCCCUAAACUGUGGAAGGUGUUGAUGCCAUCCUGCUACAGUGCCACCCAUGAGGCCUGAUUCAGGGCCAGCUGGGUGGACACCUCUGCAUAGAGCAGCAGGUUCCGCACUCCCCCUCACUUAUUUUAUGAAGAUUCUCUUCCCAGCUUGAGUCAUGUGUUCAGGGCCAUCUUUUCUGCCUCCAGCAACUGAAUGUAGUGUACUUAAUUAAUCAGGUGACUCACGCUCUCCAUGUAUUUCCUGUGCUCAACUAUAACGGGAAUAUUUUGGUCUUAGUGCCUAGAUUGAAAUACGAUAAUUUUCCUAUCUUUAUGGCUUUUUCUCUUCUUUAACAGAAGAGAGACCUGUGUACUGUUAUUUAUACCUAGAUUUGUUUUUUGUAGUUGGCUAAUUAUAAACUUAACUGGUUUCCAACAAAGCCUCAUGAGAUUUACAUCUUAUACUUUUAGGGUCUUGGGGGGAGAUAAUUAUUUUAGUUUGAUGAAUACAUGGAUUUUAUGCGGUGCAUUUUCAAAGCAUAGUAAAAAGAUAAAAUGCUAGAGGAGAAGCUUAUUUAGUGUUUUAAUCUGUUUGUGUUGGAAAGGCUCUGGCUUAUUCUGUGGGGCGCCCAGCCGGUUCCUGGAUGUUGGACUAGCUGCACUUGGUCUGUAUUUCCUGCUCAGCAGCUGGUGUGCAGCAUGGGACGGUGGCCACAUUUAUCGAGUCUUGUCUUUAUUCUGUGUCGGGGCCUGUUGAACACCUGACAGCGCUGCGGGCUGGAACCUGCCGUGGGCUGGCCUGGGGUGCGCAGCAGGGGAUUCUCUCUGGCUCAGAGCUUGUGCCCUGAAAUGCCCGCUGCCCAUCCAGAGCAGCUGCCUCAGCCUGUUUUCUCAUUUUAAAAUGGGGGAGACGCUCACUUUGUAGAAAGACCAGGCCUGCUCAGCACUUCAUCUUUGCUGUGUGCUGUGCGCACGGUGGCCCUGGGUGGAGCUGCAGGGGCUGGGGCCUGCUCCCCACUUGUCCCUUAGGUGGCCGGGCACUUCGUGGGCGGGGCCUGUCCUGCUUGCCCUUCAGCCUGCCCCCUGCCUGCUGUGUGGAGGGAGGGAGUGUUUGUGGAAUAAAUGAUGUUACGGAUUUCACUGAGCUUUUCUUAGAACCUGAGAGAACGUCUCAAAGCAGUUUGUAUUUCUCUUUUCUUUACACAUGGACAGUUGAUUGGAUUUUACUCUGGCUGAGGUGGUUCAUGAUGCCUUUUUUUUGUCAUAGUCUUUAAAUAGUCUUCAUUUUAUUUUUCAGAGCAGUUUUAGGUUCAUAGGAAAGUGAUCAGAUAGUGUAGUUCCCCGACUUCCCCCGACGGUUUCCCAUCAUCAGCAUUUUGCGGUGUCUUUGUUAACAAUUGAUGAGCCACUAUUGGUGAAGUCCAGUCUGGGCUCACUCUUCCUGUGUGUGGUGCCUGCUCCUGUCCGGCAGCAGUGGCAGUGCUCCACGUCAUUCUCCAUCACCUCACUUUCUCAUCAAUAGUAGGGUGGACUGAAUUCAAGAAUUGAAGGAAAUCAUUGUUCCCCUUUAGCUUAAUGUAUCUCCCCCUCUCAGAUUUGCUGUUAUUAAGAGUCAGCUGCUUUACAAAUUGUUUGGACCAGAUAUCUUAAUAAAUGUCUUUACUUUGGCUUUGUGGCAUGUCGGAAAGCUGCUGUGAACACCAGGGGUGCUAUGAACCCUCUGAGGCAGGGUGUGCCCGGACGUACCAACCAGAAGGGUCUUGAGAGUGUCCUCAGGGUGAGAGAGAGAUUAGUGCAACAGAGCCCUAGGCUGUGGUGAGGAGGUUAGUCCUGAGAUUGUUCAGAAAUAAGACGCUGGCCAGGCAUGGGCCUUAUAUUUCUAACUUAAAAUGGAGGAUUUAUAGUUAACAAGCAUACUUGAAUUUUAUUUGGAAGCUCAGUAACUGUCAGUCUGUUAGUGUUAACAGAAGUUUUCUGAAGAUCUUUCCUGGAAACUCUUGAAGAAGAAUUCUUUACAGGUAAUUCAAGAUUAAAAAACAAAACAAAAUAAACUCAUAAAAAG